GUGCUCACUUCAGCAGCACAUGUACUAACAUUGGAACGAUACAGAGAUUAGCAUGGUCUCUGCACAACCAUAACACGCAAAUUUGUGAAGUGUUCCAUAUUUAU